rnacentral:tRNA from 1 species
GGGGGUGUAGCUCAGUGGUCCAGCUCUAGGUUUAUUUUCUAGAGAUCAUUAGUUCGAGUCUCACAAUUUUCA